AUACGGAGGGUGCAAACGUUGUUCGGAAUCACUGGGCGUAAAGGGCGCGCAGGCGGUUUGAUUAGUCAGAUGUGAAAGCCCACGGCUUAACCGUGGAAGUGCAUUUGAAACUGUCAGACUUGAGUACCAGAGGGGGUAGUGGAAUUCCCGGUGUAGAGGUGAAAUUCGUAGAUAUCGGGAGGAAUACCGGUGGCGAAGGCGACUACCUGGCUGGAUACUGACGCUGAGGCGCGAAAGCGUGGGGAGCAAACAGGAUUAGAAACCCGGGUAGUCC
rnacentral:rRNA from 1 species